rnacentral:lncRNA from 1 species
CAGGAUUUCACUGUGUUAGCCAGGAUGGUCUUGAUCUCCCGACCUCAUGAUCCACCUGCCUCGGUCUCCAAGAGUGCUGGGAUUACAGGCUUGAGCCACGGCGACCGGCCUAGAUUAAUUCUUUAUGAAAGUUCAUGAAAGUGUAUUUUUAGCCUCUCACUAAACACUUGCAGGACUGAGAAAUACAUUCUCGAAAGAAGUAACAAUCCAUUUUGAGAUGUGUUCUAGUUAUUGGAAAUUAUUUUAUGUUAAGUUAAAUUUUUCUUCCCCAUCAUUUCCACCUUUUACUCUAGUCCUAUCCUCCAGAACUUCUCAAAAUGAAUCCAGACUUUCCUACACAUAUGAAUCUUUAAAUAAUCAAAAAGAGCUAUCAAGUUCCUCAUACUUUUCUUCUCCAAAUGAAACAUUCUCAGCCCUUGCAGGCAGCUUCUCAUGUCGUGAUUUACAGUGAGCAGCAAUGUUCUCACUGUUUGUACUAGAACAUUCUUCAAUAUGAUUAAAAGACCUCCAAAAGUGAGCUUUCCAGAAGAAAACACAGUACACUAGUGAGGUCUUCCCAGUGCAGAGUAGAGAAGCCCCAUCCUAACCUCACUUCUAUUAAUGCAAGAGCACAGGACACCAUUGGCUUGUAUUGAGCUUAUUAACAGUGAAAGCUAAAAUCCUCUCACUAGUUAAUGUGAAUUAGUAUGUUAACAAGCAGUGGCAUUGUCUAGCAAACAAGCAAAAUUUGUAUGUAAAUACUAUGAAGUUCCUAGAUAUCCUUUUGGGAAAUAAACAUAGUAUAACUCAAUCAAUAAAUAAUGGGGAUUAGAUUUUCUUAUUCCCACUUUAUAAAUGGGAAAACGAAACACCUUAAAUGACAUGUUCAGACUUAUAACCGAGGAGCAACAAAAAUUAGCCUAGAGCUACCCAAGCCUGAUGCAUUGCAUAUUGUGCUAUACCAUGCUACCCUCUAUACAGCUUGGGGAAGAUAAGGUGAAAGUUUGUCAUCUGCAACUACUAAUUAUCUGCCAAGAAUGGGGACAUCCUGGUCUGACUACAUCAGGGAAAUGAUCACAGCUGUACAAACAAUGCUCAUUUGGUAACAUGGCCAACUACAACAACUAAAUCUCCCAUCUUUCCUGGUGGUAAACACUCUUCAUGACCAUAUGAAGGUCUGCCCUGUUAUCUUGUUAUAAUUUACUGCAAUCUCUUGCCUCUUGCUUUCUGGAGCCUCAUUAGGCCCCGUUUGGCUGGAAUCACACCCUACAACCUGAGAAAGUUUUCCCGUAUAAGAUAUUCAUUAGAUCAUGGAACAAAAUGUUUCCUUCAUUCAAG